rnacentral:rRNA from 1 species
GAACGCUGGCGGCAGGCCUAAUACAUGCAAGUCGAACGGCAGCACGGCAGAGCUUGCUCUGUGGGUGGCGAGUGGCGGACGGGUGAGGAAUACAUGGGAAUCUGCCCAGUCGUGGGGAUGACGUAGGGAAACUUACGCUAAUACCGCAUGCGCCCUUCGGGGGAAAGCCGGGGACCUUCGGGCCUGGCGCGAUUGGAUGAGCCCAUGUCGGAUUAGCUAGUUGGCGGGGUAAUGGCCCACCAAGGCGACGAUCCGUAGCUGGUCUGAGAGGAUGAUCAGCCACACUGGAACUGAGACACGGUCCAGACUCCUACGGGAGGCAGCAGUAGGGAAUAUUGGACAAUGGGCGCAAGCCUGAUCCAGCCAUGCCGCGUGAGUGAAGAAGGCCCUCGGGUUGUAAAGCUCUUUUGUCCGGAAAGAAAAGCGCCGGGUUAAUACCCUGGUGUCCUGACGGUACCGGAAGAAUAAGCACCGGCUAACUUCGUG